GGGGAAUAUUGCGCAAUGGGGGAAACCCUGACGGAGCAACGCCGCGUGAGUGAUGAAGGUUUUCGGAUCGUAAAGCUCUGUUGCCAGGGAAGAACGUCCGUUAGAGUAACUGCUAACGGAGUGACGGUACCUGAGAAGAAAGCCCCGGCUAACUACGUGCCAGCAGCCGCGGUAAUACGUAGGGGGCGAGCGUUGUCCGGAAUUAUUGGGCGUAAAGCGCGCGCAGGCGGCUGUUUAAGUCUGGUGUUUAAUCCUGGGGCUCAACCCCGGGUCGCACUGGAAACUGGACAGCUUGAGUGCAGAAGAGGAGAGUGGAAUUCCACGUGUAGCGGUGAAAUGCGUAGAGAUGUGGAGGAACACCAGUGGCGAAGGCGACUCUCUGGGCUGUAACUGACGCUGAGGCGCGAAAGCGUGGGGAGCAAAC
rnacentral:rRNA from 1 species